rnacentral:rRNA from 1 species
AACGAACGCUGGCGGCAGGCCUAACACAUGCAAGUCGAACGAGAAGCGUGCCUUCGGGUGCGUGGAAGUGGCAGACGGUGAGUAACGCGUGGGAACGUACCCUUUGGUUCGGAACAACUCCGGGAAACUGGAGCUAAUACCGGAUGUGCCCUUCGGGGGAAAGAGUUUAUCGCCAAGGGAUCGGCCCGCGUCGGAUUAGCUUGUUGGUGGGUAACGGCCUACCAAGGCUAUGAUCCGUAGCUGGUCUGAGAGGAUGAUCAGCCACACUGGGACUGAGACACGGCCCAGACUCCUACGGGAGGCAGCAGUGGGGAAUAUUGGACAAUGGGCGCAAGCCUGAUCCAGCCAUGCCGCGUGAGUGAUGAAGGCCUUAGGGUUGUAAAGCUCUUUCGCCAGGGACGAUAAUGACGGUACCUGGAUAAGAAGCCCCGGCUAACUUCGUG